CAUAUGCUCCUCUCUCUCUCUCUCUCUCUCUCUCAUGUUUUUUAUGUCCACCUAUCUCAUACAACGCCUAGCUACUACAAUAUUUCACACACCUCCACCAUCAUUUCCACCUACGAUCUUAAUCAUUCAAGCACAUCAUUUUCAUUUGGAGUCUACAGUGAGGUGUUCUUUGCUAUGCAUAUACCCUUGGAUAUACAAGAUAGAAACUGUGAUGAGUAGGUGAAAAGAGAGAGUUAUCCAGAGGAGCGUGCGAAGAGAUACUUUGACGUGGUGGUGUUAGAUGAGUUUUUUUUUUUUUUUUUAUGAUCUCAAAACAUGUAAACACAAAUUAUUUUUACAAAUAUGUUUUAGGUGUACUGGUUGUUAGAGAAACAUGGACUAAGAUCUUCAUUGUUA